GUCCCUGUAGCUCAGUGGAUAGAGCAGGAACCUUCUAAGUUCAAGGUCGGGGGUUCGAAUCCCUCCAGGGACG
rnacentral:tRNA from 1 species